rnacentral:rRNA from 1 species
CCUACGGGAGGCAGCAGUGAGGAAUAUUGGUCAAUGGACGAGAGUCUGAACCAGCCAAGUCGCGUGAAGGAUGACUGCCCUAUGGGUUGUAAACUUCUUUUAUAUGGGAAUAAAAUGUUCCACGUGUGGGAUUUUGUAUGUACCAUAUGAAUAAGGAUCGGCUAACUCCGUGCCAGCAGCCGCGGUAAUACGGAGGAUCCGAGCGUUAUCCGGAUUUAUUGGGUUUAAAGGGUGCGUAGGGGGAUUGUUAAGUCAGUUGUGAAAGUUUGCGGCUCAACCGUAAAAUUGCAGUUGAAACUGGCAGUCUUGAGUACAGUAGAGGUAGGCGGAAUUCGUGGUGUAGCGGUGAAAUGCUUAGAUAUCACGAAGAACUCCGAUUGCGAAGGCAGCUCGCUGGACUGCAACUGACACUGAGGCUCGAAAGUGUGGGUAUCAAACAGGAUUAGAUACCCGGGUAGUC